AAGCAACGAUGCAGUAAUUCACUUGUUGGUGCGUAAAUCAGCUAAAGUACAGGCUCAAGCCGUGAAAACAGAUUUUGAAGUUUCAGUUGUAGCAUCGGCAUCAAAUGAGAAAGGGUCUGAUGCAGUAGAGAAGCUCCAAGAGAGGUUUCAGGCUGUUGGAUUCAAUACUGUGCCAAGAAGUUUUAUUUUGGAACCAUUGAUUGUCAAUCCUAAGAUCACACCAUCGCCAGUUGUUAAGCAGCUGAUUGGCAGCACUUUCGAUGGUAUGGCAAGGGGUCACCAACCAAUUAGGUCCUCUGAGGGAUCAGGGGGUGCUUAUUUCAUGCUAGAUUCAUAUGCUCAGAAUUAUGUCUCUGUUUUUAAACCAACAGAUGAGGAGCCUAUGGCUGUGAAUAAUCCCCGGGGGCUUCCAUUGUCUGUAGAUGGUGAGGGGUUGAAGAAGGGCACACGUGUAGGAGAGGGGGCAUUUAGGGAGGUUGCUGCGUAUAUUUUGGAUCAUCCCAAGUCGGGACCUCGCUCAGCUUGUUCUGAUGAGAAGGGAUUUGCUGGGGUUCCUCCCACAGUUAUGGUCAAGUGUUUCCAUACUGGUUUCAAUCAUGCUGAAGGCUCUGAAUGUUCAUCCAAGAGUCUUAAGAUUGGGUCGCUGCAGAAGUUCAGGAAGAACAGUGGAAGUUGCGAGGAUUUUGGUCCUCGUGCUUUUCCUGUUGAUGCUGUACACAGGAUUUCUGUGCUGGACAUAAGGUUGGCUAAUGCAGAUAGGCAUGCUGGAAACAUUUUGGUUCAGAAGGAUGAUAUGGAUGGUCAGGUUGUGCUUAUACCAA
rnacentral:misc_RNA from 1 species